rnacentral:rRNA from 1 species
CCUACGGGUGGCAGCAGUGGGGAAUAUUGGGCAAUGGGCGCAAGCCUGACCCAGCAACGCCGCGUGAAGGAAGAAGGCUUUCGGGUGGUAAACUUCUUUUGUCAGGGACGAAGCAAGUGACGGUACCUGACGAAGAAGCCACGGCUAACUAGGUGCCAGCAGCCGCGGUAAUACGUAGGCGGCAAGCGUUGUCCGGAUUUACUGGGUGUAAAGGGCGUGUAGGUGGGGGGGCAAGUCGGCUGUGAAAACCACGGGCUAAACCUGUGCCCUGCCUUUGAAACUGUUUUUCUGGAGUGCUGGUGCGGCAAUCGGAAUUCGGUGUGUAGCGGUGAAAUGCGUAGAUAUAAGGAGGAACACCAGUUGCGAAGGCGGAUUGCUGAACAGGAACUGACGCUGAGGCGCGAAAGCGUGGGGAGCAAACAGGAUUAGAUACCCCAGUAGUC